UACGUAGGGUGCUAGCGUUGUCCGGAUUUAUUGGGCGUAAAGAGCUCGUAGGCGGCUUGUCGCGUCGAAUGUGAAAACCCACGGCUCAACUGUGGGCUUGCAUUCGAUACGGGCAGGCUAGAGUUCGGUAGGGGAGACUGGAAUUCCUGGUGUAGCGGUGAAAUGCGCAGAUAUCAGGAGGAACACCGGUGGCGAAGGCGGGUCUCUGGGCCGAUAUUGACGCUGAGGAGCGAAAGCGUGGGGAGCGAACAGG
rnacentral:rRNA from 1 species